CUUGAACUUUCAAGUCAGUAAGGUAGAAAGGAGUUUUUUGCAGCAUUUUGAAGCUCACUCACUUUUCCACAUUUUCUCCCUUUGAAGGGAGUCUUCACACGUCGCUUAAGACCGAAUCAAGGAACUUUUCGAUAGGGAAAUAGCUUCUGAGGUUGAACGUGAAGGAGGAGGUGAAGGUGUUGGGAAAUGGCUAUUAAUAAGUAGUAAGGUCCUAGCUAGGGGAGAGUCCCUACUCGGACUAGUAUACACGGAGACCAUGAGUCAUCGUAAGGGUUGGCAUGUCCGGUGACCGAGGAAAGCGGCCACUUCCCAGUACAUUAUUUCAGGUUGAGUCGUGAUGGAGUGAAGUGUGCUGAUCCAAGUGACUUACUCUUAUGUAUAUGUAGGACUCUCGGCGGUUCAUGUCUUCAUACAUGAAAUCAUGUUUCAUUUGCUUCCGUUGUGUUAUUAAAAUAAGUUGAACUUUUCAGUUUCCUUAAGACUCUGAUGUUUGAUAAGUCGUAUUGUAAGAAUAUCAGUCUAGUACUCUAUUAAGUGCAUGAUCGUCAACUUUUCCUUCCCCAUUUCUACCCCCUCUUCUUCUUUUUUCAUCUGUAGUAAUAGAUUAUCGA